rnacentral:rRNA from 1 species
CCUACGGGGGGCUGCAGUGAGGAAUUUUCUGCAAUGGGCGAAAGCCUGACAGAGCAAUACCGCGUGAGGGAGGAAGGCCUACGGGUUGUAAACCUCUUUUCUCAAGGAGGAAGAUAUGACGUUACUUGAGGAAUAAGCAUCGGCUAACCCUGUGCCAGCAGCCGCGGUAAUACAGGGGAUGCAAGUGUUAUCCGGAAUUAUUGGGCGUAAAGCGUCUGCAGGUGGACUUUUAAGUCUUUUGUUAAAGCUCUGGGCUUAACCUGGAAUAUGCAAAG